GACAGGAUGGCCGAGUGGUCUAAGGCGUGGUGUUCAAGCCACCAUAUCGAGAGAUGCGAGGGUUCGAAUCCCUCUUCUGUCA
rnacentral:tRNA from 1 species